rnacentral:rRNA from 1 species
CUGACCGUGCAAAGGUAGCAUAAUCAUUUGCCUUAUAACUGAAGGCUAGUAUGAAUGGUUUGACAAGAGUGUGACUGUCUCUUUACAAUUAAUUAAAAUUUUAUUUUCAGGUGAAGAAGCCUGUAUAUAAUUGAAAGACAAGAAGACCCUAUCGAGCUUAAAAAGAAUUAAUAAACCUAAUUUUCAAUAAGAUAUUAGAUCUGUUUAUUAUAUACUUUAGUUGGGGCGACUAAGGAACAAUUAAAGCUUCCUUUAUUAUGAAAACUAAACUGACAAGUUUUGAUCCAAAAGCUUUGAUUAAAGAAAUUAGUUACCGUAGGGAUAACAGCAUUAUUCUCUUUGAGAGCUCUUAUCGAAAAGAGAGUUUGUGACCUCGAUGUUGGACCAGAAUGUCCUAAAGAUGCAGCCGUCUUUAAGGGUUGGUCUGUUCGACCAUUAAAAUUCUACGUGAAAAA